rnacentral:rRNA from 1 species
GCCAGCAGCCAUAUCACCCUGCACCUGGCAGCCCACAGCAGCUCAGCAGGUGUGAGCCGGGCCAGUACCUGGAUGAGAGACCUCCUGGGAAAAACUAAGGUUGCUGCUGGAA